CUGGCAUGAUGAGGAAAACCUACUUUUUUUCUGAUCUAUCUGAUGAGAAAUACCUCCUACUCAUUCUGA